rnacentral:lncRNA from 1 species
CUUUCGGUGCACCGCCACACACCAGAACCUCCAGCUCGAUAACUUCUUCUUCAAGAUUCUUGAUGGGGAGGAGAACGGCGGAGCCGGUGCUCGGAUAGCUUCUCGGAUCGCCUCCAGGGAUCUCCGGGUAUGUUUUCACGACGGUGUUCUUGGAAUAGUCUAGUAAAAUGGCUCGGUUAUUAGCAAAUAUGAAUAAGUUUCCAUCGGUGUUGAGGAACACGUUAGGGUAGAGAUUGUUUUCUAUAGAAUCACACACAAGUUUAAUAAGAAGUCCUUCUCUUAUUAAUCACUCAAAAGAUCGCAAGUCACAACUCACAAUUUGCAAUCACAAUUCACUUAUAAUGCAACACAAUAUGCAUCUCAAUAUAUAGGAAUAGAUAUCUCCUAAACCUAAUAGUAAUAACACAUUCCAUAUUUCCUAAUCCUAUAGAUAGACACAAAUCAUAUUAGGAUUAGGAUAGCUUAUUACUUAAGCUAUCACCAAGCUUAAUCCAACAUUCUCCCCUUUAAGCUUGACAUCAUCUUCAUUCAUACCUUGAACUCCAAUUAGUCUUCUCAUUUCGAUAAACUUAACUCUUCCAAGUGACUUUGUCAAUAUGUCAGCUUUCUGCUCACUUCCUGGAACAUGCUUCACCUCCACUUGUUCAUUCUCAACACACUCUCGGAUAAAAUGAAACCGUCGAUGAAUGUGUUUACUUCUUCCAUGAAACACCGGAUUCUUGGUUAAUGCAAUAGCAGAUAUAUUGUCGACAUAUAUAGUCACCUUCUUGCUUGUUUGGCCGACCACUUCACCCAGGAGAUCUUGCAGCCAUAUUGCUUGUUUAGCAGCCUCAGUUGCAGCCAUAAACUCAGCCUCACAAGACGAUAAAGCAACUAUCUCCUGUUUCUGUGAGCACCACGUUAUUGGACUUUGAUCAAGAUAAAAUACAUGUCCUGUUGUGCUUCGACCAUCAUCGGCAUCAACACUAUGAGAACUAUCGCUGAAACCUUUCAACUCGAUCUUCUUAGUCCGUGAAAACACAAGACCCAAAGCCGUUGUUCCGCGUAAGUAUCGAAGUACUUGUUUCAAUGCAGAACCAUGACUCUCCUUAGGAUUUUGCAUAUAUCUACUUAGAACACUAACAGAGAAUGAUAGGUCUGGUCGAGUAUGGAGUAAAUACCGUAAGCAUCCUACAGCUCUUCGAUACUCCCUUUCGUUGAUGCUCUUCUCCUCUGAUGAUUUUGAAAGCUUCACAUUUACAUCCAAAGGUAUGGCUGUCGAAUUACAUGAGUUCAUACCACUCUCUUCAAGUAUUUUCUGAGCAUAUCGGUCUUGUCUAAGGAUGAUGGUUUCGCCACAUUGUUGUACUUCUAUCCCCAAAUAAUACGUCAAUAAUCCAAGGUCGCUCAUCUCAAAUUUCGUAGACAUUCCCCGUUUGAACUCAAGAAUCGAUUGCAAGCUUGUUCCAGUUACGAGUAGGUCGUCCACAUAGACUACAACAAUUAGAAGACCUUUCUUUUCUACUUUUCGAUACACCGAUGGUUCUUUCGAGCACCGUUCGAACUUGAGCUCUAAAAGUAUCUGGUUUAACUUAGUGUUCCAAGCCCUAGGUGCUUGUUUAAGACCAUAGAGUGCCUUCUUAAGUUUGUAGACUUUGUUUUCUUUUCCCUCGACAUGAAAACCUUCUGGCUGUAAGACAAAGACUUCCUCUUUGAGUUCUCCAUGUAAGAACGCAGUUUUUACAUCAAGAUGGUGUAUCUCCCAUCCGUUGCUUGCUGCUAAAGCAAUGAUUAAACGGAUUGUUUCAAUACGAGCGACCGGCGCGAAUACUUCAUCAUAAUCAACUCCAUGUCGCUGAACAUAGCCUUUUGCUACUAACCGAGCCUUGAAUUUGCUAAUGCUCCCGUCAGCAUUCCUUUUGAUCUUAAAUACCCACUUGAGACCAAUAGGUUUUACUCCCAAUGGUAGAUCAACAAGCUCCCAUGUAUCAUUCUUCUCAAUAGAUAAAAUUUCAUCUUUACAUGCAUCGAUCCAGACUUUCAGUUCCUUUGCUUCGUUAAAAUCCCAAGGCUCGUCAUUAAUAACCAUUAGAAGUCUUUCACACUCUGUUUCCGCCAUAAGAACAUAAUCAUCCAAGUAUGCUGGUUUAUGGACGAUCCUUGAAGAUCGUCGUGGCUGUGGCUGAUCGUCUCCGGACGUUCCAUCAUCGUUUUCUUCUUCUUCUUCUUCGUUUUCACUCUCGACCUGCGUGGUCGUUCCAUUCUCAUUAUUUUCUACAGUUUCUUGACUGUCAUCUUCUUCGUUUUCGAGUUCAUUGAAAGUACCAACAAUGGAGAAAGUACUUUCUCCUGAUCCUUUUGCUUUGUUCCAAUUCCAUUCUUUGUUUUCUUCAAAGAUAACAUCGCGACUAACAAUAACUCUUUUGGUUGAAGGAUCGUAUAACCGAUAUGCUUUGGAACCUGGUUCGGUUCCUAAAUAAACUAGAGUUAUGGACCGAUCGUCAAGCUUUCUUCUUCCAGCUGAGUUUGUUUUGGCGUGACAUACACACCCGAAUACUCGGAGAUGAUCGAGGUUCGGUUUUUUCUCUCGUAGAGCUUCAUAUGGUGUCAUAUCUUCAAGUGUUCUCGUCGCCAUCCUGUUUAUCAAGUAUGUGGCAUGUCUUACCGCUUCACCCCAAAAGACAUUAGGUAUGUUCAUAUGCUUUAGAAUGCUUCUUGUCAUCUCGAGAAGAGUUCGAUUUCGUCUCUCAACAACUCCAUUUUGUUGAGGAGAGUAAGGUGCUGUUAAGUGCCUUUGGAUACCAUUCUUGCUGCAGUAGUCUUGAAACUCUUGGCUCAUAAAUUCACCACCACGAUCCGUUCGAAAUGUUUUUAUUACUUCUUUUGUUUCCUGUUCAGCCACCGCUUUAAAAUGCUUGAAUUUACCAAAAGCCUCGCUCUUUUCUCGUAUCAAUAUGGUCCACAUAUAUCGUGAGUAAUCGUCGAUAAGGACGAAUACAUAUCUUUUCUGCGAAGGCGUUGAUGGUGUGAUAGGCCCGCAUAGGUCCCCGUGAACUAACUCGAGAGGACGGGAAGCACGGAAUGUUGUUGCUUGUGGGAAAGGCUUUCGAGUUUGUUUGCCAAGUAAGCAGCUUCUACACGUCUCUUUCUCUACGUCAAUACUAGGUAAGCCUGUCACAAGCUUCUUUUUGAUCAUUGUUUUCAUCGUUUCCGUAUUUACAUGUCCCAUCCGUGCAUGCCAUCUAGAUGAUUCGCUUGGCUUGAUCAGUAGACACUCGGGGUUCUCAUGGACUUGUAAGCUUACUUUGUAUAAUCUGUUCUUUGAUCUGGUUGUCUUUAACAUCAUUCCUCCAAGUCGAUCGAAAAGCAUCAGCAUAUCUCCUUUCAUUCGUACUUCACAUCCAGUUUCAGUAGCUUGUCCUAAGCUAAUGAUGUUACUCUUUAAUCCUGGUAUAUAGUAGACAUUAUGUAGGAUCUUCUUUUCGCCUUUUCCAAAGAUAAACUGAAUGGAUCCUUUUCCUCUAAUGUCAAUACGAGAAUCGUCUCCAAACCUUACUUUUCCCAAAAUUGUUUCGUCAAUCUUUGUGAAGAACAUACGGUUUCCACUCAUAUGAUUGCUUGCUCCAUUAUCGAGAUACCAUAUGUUUUUCAUAUCAAGAUCUGAGUCAAAGAAGGUUGGAUUUACUUUGUUUUCAUUCAAAUACACAACUUCAUGCAUCAUUAGUUCGUCUGCUUCAUGCGUAUCGUCAGUUUUCUUCUCAGCGGUUUCUUGUAGUUUAAGUAACUUCUCGGGACAAUCUGUCGCAUAGUGUCCGAGUUUGUCACAGCUAAAGCACGUGAUAUGAGAUAUAUCCCUCUCUUGUCCGUUGCUCUGCUUCCAAGCUUCUCGCUGUUGUUGAAAGCUUCCACGACCGCGACCUCUUCCUCGCCAAUUACUACGUCCUCCACGUCCUCUGUUAGAUCUAUUACCGUUGUAGCCACCUUGAGAUCCUUCAGAGUUAGCGUACAUUAGUUUCUCCUGAUCUUCCUGUCGAUCCUCUUCGUCUUCACAGAUUCUUUCUUCGUAUGCUUUUAGUCGGCCAACAAUAUCCUCGAAGCUUGUUGUAUUUAAGUCAAGAACUUGCUCAAGAGAAGCAACUAUGUGAAUGUACUUUCGUCUUGGUAAGCUCUUUAAAAACUUCUUUACAAUUUUUGCUUCUUCUAUAAUCUCACCUAGAGAUGCAGAUUUAGAUACAAUUUCGGAUAGUUUCCCAACAAAAGUGUCAACCGUGUCCUCGUCUUUCAUUCUCAAUCGAUCAAAUUCAGCCAUCAAUGUCUGAAGUCUUGCUUCUCUCACCCUCUCAGCUCCUAUAUGUCUCGCUUUAAUUGCAUCCCACACUGCCUUAGCUGUGUCCAGAUCUCCAACUUGGAGUGUUAAAGAUUCAGGGAUGGAUUGAAACAACAAAGCAGUAGCCAUGUUGUUCUUCUCUUCGUCUUUGCUCCCUGGAUCGAUAACUUCCCAUACUUUAUGAACUUUGAGAGUAACUUUCAUCCUCAUAGCCCAUACAACGUAGUUCGUGGAGUUUAACAUUGGAAAACGAAUGGAGGAUGGUCCGGGCUCCUUCAUGGUCACCGUGGGUUCGUCUUUGAUAUCGCUCAUCGUGUCUUGAAGAUUUGAUAUAGUGCUUUGCUAGUUUUUCGAAUUUGUGUGGCUCUGAUACCAAUUAUAGAAUCACACACAAGUUUAAUAAGAAGUCCUUCUCUUAUUAAUCACUCAAAAGAUCGCAAGUCACAACUCACAAUUUGCAAUCACAAUUCACUUAUAAUGCAACACAAUAUGCAUCUCAAUAUAUAGGAAUAGAUAUCUCCUAAACCUAAUAGUAAUAACACAUUCCAUAUUUCCUAAUCCUAUAGAUAGACACAAAUCAUAUUAGGAUUAGGAUAGCUUAUUACUUAAGCUAUCACCAAGCUUAAUCCAACAUUUUCUUGGUCAAGAUCGUUGGUUUCCGACAAGAACCGUAAGCUGUAUGUGUUUGGAGCGUUUGUCUUAGGGAAAAACUCGAAGUUAAACUCAUCACGACCUCCUACUAUAAUCUGACGACCAUCGGGAAGUACAUGGUUCGAAGCGUACCAUCUUUUAACAUUAAGUGCGUUGUCUAUUUCAGACCAAUCACAAGAAUCAUCAUCGCAUGGGUAGAACAGUCUAGCUUUACGUUCUCCGUCUUUGUCUCCUCCUGUCUGAAGGAGAGUUCCGUCGGGAGUGACUCCUCCCGAGGAGCACCAAGUG